rnacentral:rRNA from 1 species
UACAGAGGGUGCGAGCGUUGUUCGGAAUUAUUGGGCGUAAAGCGCGUGUAGGCGGCUUUGCAAGUCAGGUGUGAAAGCCCUCGGCUUAACCGAGGAAGUGCGCCUGAAACUGUGAGGCUUGAGUACCGGAGAGGGUGGUGGAAUUCCCGGUGUAGAGGUGAAAUUCGUAGAUAUCGGGAGGAACACCAGUGGCGAAGGCGACCACCUGGACGGCUACUGACGCUGAGACGCGAAAGCGUGGGGAGCAAACAGG